rnacentral:rRNA from 1 species
UACGAAGGGAGCAAGCGUUGUUCGGAUUUACUGGGCGUAAAGGGCGCGUAGGCGGCCUCUGCAAGUCGACUGUGAAAUCUCCGGGCUUAACCCGGAAAGGUCAGCCGAUACUGCAGGGCUAGAGUGCAGAAGGGGCAACUGGAAUCCUCGGUGUAGCGGUGAAAUGCGUAGAUAUCGAGAGGAACACCUGCGGCGAAGGCGGGUUGCUGGGCUGACACUGACGCUGAGGCGCGAAAGCUAGGGGAGCGAACGGG